rnacentral:tRNA from 1 species
GGUGGUGUGGCUCAGUGGUAGAGGGCUGGCCUGGCACGUGAAGUCUUAGGUUUGAUCCUUAGCACCACACA